rnacentral:snRNA from 1 species
CACCAUCUAUGUAGGAAUACCCUA